AAUUAAUUAAAAGUUGAACAAACUUACUUAAUUAAUUUCUAUUUUAACUAGUUCUAUUAAUUCAACAUCGAGGUAAUAAAAUUAUUUUUUAAUGUAUUCUAUCAAAAUAAAUUAUC
rnacentral:rRNA from 1 species